UGCGGCGCACAGCUCAGUAGCACGUGGCUAACCUGCCCUUGGGACGGAAGAACCCCCGGGAAACUGGGGCUAAUUUCCGAUAGGUGAUGAUACCUGGAAUGGUUUUUUGCUCAAAGGACGCUUAGGGCAUGCUUCUAGGCGUUGCCCAAGGAUGGGGCCGCGGCCGAUCAGGUUGUUGGUGAGGUAACGGCUCACCAAGCCUUUAACCGGUGCGGGCCGUGGGAGCGGAAGCCCGGAGAUGGGCACUGAGACAAGGGCCCAGGCCCUACGGGGCGCAGCAGUCGCGAAAAUUUCGCAAUAAGCGAAAGCUUGACGGAGCUAUCCCGAGUGCCAUCCGCUGAGGAUGGCUUUUCCCUAGUAUAGAUAGCUGGGGGAAUAAGGAGAGGGCAAGUCUGGUGUCAGCCGCCGCGGUAAUACCAGCUCUCCGAGUGGUGGGGAUGAUUAUUGGGCCUAAAGCAUCCGUAGCCGGCUGGGCAAGUCCCCUGUUAAACCCAACGAUUUAAUCGUUGGUCUGCGGGGGAUACUGCUUGGCUAGGGGGCGAGAGAGGCCGUCGGUAUUCCCGGGGUAGGGGUGAAAUCCUAUAAUCCCGGGAGGACCACCAGUGGCGAAGGCUGUCGGCUAGAACGCGCCCGACGGUGAGGGAUGAAAGCUGGGGGAGCGAACCGGAUUAGAUACCCGGGUAGUCCCAGCUGUAAACGAUGCAGGCUAGGUGUUAGGGCGUCCACGUGCCGCUCUAGUGCCGCAGGGAAGCUGUUAAGCCUGCCGCCUGGGGAGACCGGCUGCAAGGCUGAACUGAAAGGCCA
rnacentral:rRNA from 1 species